rnacentral:rRNA from 1 species
AACUUUCAGCAACGGAUCUCUUGGCUCUCGCAUCGAUGAAGAACGCAGCGAAAUGCGAUAAGUAAUGUGAAUUGCAGAAUUCAGUGAAUCAUCGAAUCUUUGAACGCACCUUGCGCC